rnacentral:rRNA from 1 species
GAUGAACGCUGGCGGCGUGCCUAAUACAUGCAAGUCGAGCGAACGGACGAGAAGCUUGCUUCUCUGAUGUUAGCGGCGGACGGGUGAGUAACACGUGGAUAACCUACCUAUAAGACUGGGAUAACUUCGGGAAACCGGAGCUAAUACCGGAUGAUAUUUUGAACCGCAUGGUUCAAAAGUGAAAGACGUUCUUGCUGUCACUUAUAGAUGGAUCCGCGCUGCAUUAGCUAGUUGGUAAGGUAACGGCUUACCAAGGCAACGAUGCAUAGCCGACCUGAGAGGGUGAUCAGCCACACUGGAACUGAGACACGGUCCAGACUCCUACGGGAGGCAGCAGUAGGGAAUCUUGCGCAAAGGGCGAAAGCCUGACGGAGCAACGCCGCGUGAGUGAUGAAGGUCUUCGGAUCGUAAAACUCUGUUAUUAGGGAAGAACAUAUGUGUAAGUAACUGUGCACAUCUUGACGGUACCUAAUCAGAAAGCCACGGCUAACUACGUG